rnacentral:rRNA from 1 species
UUGACCUCAAAUCAGGUAGGACUACCCGCUGAACUUAAGCAUAUCAAUAAGCGGAGGAAAAGAAACUAACAAGGAUUCCCCUAGUAACUGCGAGUGAAGCGGGAA